rnacentral:lncRNA from 1 species
CUGUUUUGGAGCAGAAGUUAGUACACAGCGUCCGAAAAAUUGGACGCUGAAGAAAUUCAGCAACUAAAAUUUCAAACAUUCUUACACAGUAACUCUACAGGGCUUCCGGCAUGCUGCGAGGACAUCAAAAUUUUCCGGCGUGCCCGAAAAACAGGGCGUCCC